GGAAGUUUGAGGCAAUAACAGGUCUGUGAUGCCCUUAGAUGUCCUGGGCCGCACGCGCGCUACACUGAUACGUGCAACAAGUUCUAUCCUGGGCCGGAAGGCUUCGGGUAAUCUUGAUAAUGCGUAUCGUGACAGGGAUAGAUCUUUGCAAUUAUAGAUCUUGAACGAGGAAUUCCUAGUAAGCAUAAGUCAUCAGCUUGUGCUGAUUACGUCCCUGCCCUUUGUACACACCGCCCGUCGCUCCUACCGAUUUUGAGUGAUCCGGUGAACCUUCUGGACUGUGUCUGGGCUUGACUCAGAUGUGGGAAGUUAAGUAAACCUUAUCACUAGAGGAAGGAGAAGU
rnacentral:rRNA from 1 species